ACAUAACCUUUAACUUUAAUCCAAGUUUUCUCAUCCUUAGCAAUCUGAUAUGGAGUUAGACCCUUCAUGAGAAUUAGAGCUUAGAUAGUUUUCUGCAAAGUUUAUGCAGACUACAUUUUAAUUCUAAACCUUUAUGAUCACGGAAAACCUCACUGAAACUAAUGUGACAAAUGCUAAUAUUCGUUGUUUUCUUCAUAAACUUCGUUUCUCG
rnacentral:lncRNA from 1 species